rnacentral:rRNA from 1 species
GAUGAACGCUGGCGGCGUGCCUAAUACAUGCAAGUCGAGCGAACAGACGAGGAACUUGCUCCUCUGACGUUAGCGGCGGACGGGUGAGUAACACGUGGAUAACCUACCUAUAAGACUGGGAUAACUUCGGGAAACCGGAGCUAAUACCGGAUAAUAUAUUGAACCGCAUGGUUCAAUAGUGAAAGACGGUUUUGCUGUCACUUAUAGAUGGAUCCGCGCCGCAUUAGCUAGUUGGUAAGGUAACGGCUUACCAAGGCAACGAUGCGUAGCCGACCUGAGAGGGUGAUCGGCCACACUGGAACUGGGACACGGUCCAGACUCCUACGGGAGGCAGCAGUAGGGAAUCUUCCGCAAUGGGCGAAAGCCUGACGGAGCAACGCCGCGUGAGUGAUGAAGGUCUUCGGAUCGUAAAACUCUGUUAUUAGGGAAGAAUAAAUGUGUAAGUAACUAUGCACGUCUUGACGGUACCUAAUCAGAAAGCCACGGCUAACUACGUGC